GAUGAACGCUGGCGGCGUGCCUAAUACAUGCAAGUCGAGCGAACGGACGAGAAGCUUGCUUCUCUGAUGUUAGCGGCGGACGGGUGAGUAACACGUGGAUAACCUACCUAUAAGACUGGGAUAACUUCGGGAAACCGGAGCUAAUACCGGAUAAUAUUUUGAACCGCAUGGUUCAAAAGUGAAAGACGGUCUUGCUGUCACUUAUAGAUGGAUCCGCGCUGCAUUAGCUAGUUGGUAAGGUAACGGCUUACCAAGGCAACGAUGCAUAGCCGACCUGAGAGGGGGAUCGGCCACACUGGAACUGAGACACGGUCCAGACUCCUACGGAAGGCAGCAGUAGGAAAUCUUCCGCAAUGGGCGAAAGCCUGACGGGGCAACGCCGCGUAGGUGAGGAGGGUCUUCGGAUCGUAAACUCUGUUAUUAGGGAAGAACAUAUGUGUAAGUAACUGUGCACAUCUUGACGGUACCUAAUCAGAAAGCCACGGCUAACUACGUG
rnacentral:rRNA from 1 species